CCCGGGGGCCCAGCCACACUCGGGUCCCGACGUCCGAUUAGUAAAGUAGGGGCGAUGCUGCAGAGCGAGCUUUGAAGAGCAAGGCUGCAGCUGAGAGAUGUCUGCAAGGAAAAUAACGAGGCUUCUCUGUAGAGCUCAGGUCUCUGUCCAUCACAGCACUUUCACGUUAUCUCCCUUGACUCCCCAUCCGGGAGCAAUAUUCUCAUUUUGCAGACCGGGUGACCUAACCCAAAACCUCACAAUCGGUGGCAGAGCCGGGAUCCGCUGCACUGACUUCAUAGUUUGGGCUACUUACCUCGGCAUCACAGUGUCCACCUAAAUCCCUUAGAUGCAACUAAUAAUAGAGCCACACACGCCCCAAAAGUGUACUGUUACUGGGUUACUGGAGGGAGUUGAAGAUGUCCUCCUAGUCUUCAGAGAGUAAGGAAUAAGACAAUGAUGAAAGUUAUGAUGAAAGACAAACCAUGGCAGGUGCUGUGUGAAAAUACAGAGUACUGCUGAAGAUCAAGGAGUUGCUCCUAUCUGUCUGGGAGAUAAGAAAAGAAAGACAGCAUAGAGAAGGCACGUUGGGAUUGACCUUGAAGACGAUGGGUGGAAGGUUUUACAGCAAGAAGGGAUAACAGGAGAACAUAUACAAAGGUGAAUCGAUGAAAGUCCUCAGGGGGAAAAAAAAAAAAAAAACAUGGUAAGAUUCUAGAGCAUGUUGAUAAGUAGCAUAGGCAAAGGAGGAGGGUGUCUGGGGUGACAAAUGGAAGAAUCUAUAUUUAAUUCAGCACUUUUAGUUUUCUGGCUUAAAAUUUUGGAAUAGAAAACAAGGGUUUUUUGUGAAUGGAUGCAGAGAGUGGAGGUGGGGAAACUGCCAGGUAGACGUAUAACAGGUCAAGUAAAAGGAAAUGAAGUGUCUAGAUAAAGUUGGGUCAGGAAGAAUUAAAAUAGCACGGUUGAAAGAUGAUGUAGAAGCAGAAUUACAGAUUUGGCGAUUGAUUGGUGUUACAAGAAAGGGAAUAGCCUGAGAACAUAAAUGAAGAUGAAUGUCUAAAGGAGGAGGAGAGAAAUCAAAGUAGAGGUUUUGCGUUUCUAGAUAAUUAUAGCAAGAAGAGAAAACAACAGCUAGUAAAAGCUGCUUUUUGAGAAGUCUGUUUAGAUGUGGACAUCUUAUGAGUUUGAAAAUUGUCAAGACAGUGAGAGGUAGAACACUAGGAAGCUAAACAAAAAGGUUUUGAUAUAUGGAAAAUAUGAUUGAACCAGAAAAUAGAUUGAGAAGUUACUAACCUAGUAGUGAUAUCACUGAGAGAAAAGAAGAAAACAAAAGGCAGAAUCUUGGAGAACAUACUCUUUAGAACCUUGCUACACGAAGUAUGGUCAAUGACUCAUGAGUACUGGUGUCACCAGGGAGUUUGUUAGAAAAGUAGACCCUCCUUCCCAGUUGAAUCAGUAUCUUCCACUUCACAAGAACACCGUGAAAUGGAUCAUAUAAAAGCUUGAGAGCUCUGACCUAGAUGAGAGAAAACAAAGGGGAUCUACUCUAAAUGAGAAAAGCUAGCAGAGAAAGAGAAAGGAGGAAGAAAGGGAACGAAAGUAAUACAGAAUCAUCAAAACAAGAUACAUUGGAGUUUCAACAAGGCAGGGGCAGGAAGGGGAUGUUGAUCAACAAUAUCUCAAGCCAUAGAGGUUAAGAGACACAAGGAAAGAAGCUGGACUAUGCAGACGACCACAAGUCCCCGGGGUUGACAGUGCCACAUGAACAAAGGUACAUAGAUAAAGGAGAGCUGCCCACUGACCUGGAACACCCACUCCUGAUUAUGAUAACAAAGUUGAGAAGAAUCUAGAGAUUUUGAUAUUCCCUGGAAACACAGGAGUGCCUUGGGCCUCUCUGGUGCCUUUCAUACCUGCCCUCCCCUGGGCUUGCCACUGGUGAAUCACAUUCCACAUUCUCGUUAAAAGAAGCCAGCACAUGAGAAUACUGGCACUGCCCCACUUCUUCAGGGAAUCUUCUGGGACCUGGCAUUAUACAUGUGGAAAUCUAGUCUUGGUUGGUGCUCCUCAAAUGAAAGCAAGGGUUCUGCUCUCUGAAUCUACUUUAAGGUGAGAGAAGAACCCACUUUGGAGCUACACUAAGAAGAACCACUGUAUGGUGAAGGAUAGAAUUAGACUUUUAGUGUUGAAGGUGAAAAAGGUGGAGGUAUCAUCCAAGUGAUUCAUCAUACAGCACUUCCAGUUCCAAAGAAUACUGACUUACUUCAGCUGUGCUGUUUUGAAGCUGUACAUUCUUUUCAGAUAAUUCUUUGUCCAGCAAGCUCAGGCGAGUUGAUAUUUUCAAACUAUCUGUGUUUAAGACCUACAAAGAUACAACCAACCAGAUAACCCAAAACAAUCAGAAACCCAUCUGCAUGUGAACUAAGAAAAACAGAGAAAAUUAGAAUUUUUCCAGCAAACCUGCCUGCCUCCUGCUGGGAAGUAUAAAUCUGACUGCCAGCAUCUGGGAUCCAAAUAGGAAAUGGUUGUGUUAGGGCUCAUAUGUAGAGAGUAUCAUUUAUUACCUGUUUUGAGUUCUCUGACCCUCUGCUUUCUGGUUCAAUCUUCAGAAAAUAAACCAUCUAGUUCCAAGUCAGAAAAGGAUGGUUUCCUAUUUAUGC